UGGGGAAUAUUGGACAAUGGGCGCAAGCCUGAUCCAGCCAUGCCGCGUGAGUGAUGAAGGCCCUAGGGUUGUAAAGCUCUUUCACCGGAGAAGAUAAUGACGGUAACCGGAGAAGAAGCCCCGGCUAACUUCGUGCCAGCAGCCGCGGUAAUACGAAGGGGGCUAGCGUUGUUCGGAUUUACUGGGCGUAAAGCGCACGUAGGCGGACUUUUAAGUCAGGGGUGAAAUCCCGGGGCUCAACCCCGGAACUGCCUUUGAUACUGGAAGUCUUGAGUAUGGUAGAGGUGAGUGGAAUUCCGAGUGUAGAGGUGAAAUUCGUAGAUAUUCGGAGGAACACCAGUGGCGAAGGCGGCUCACUGGACCAUUACUGACGCUGAGGUGCGAAAGCGUGGGGAGCAAACAGG
rnacentral:rRNA from 1 species